rnacentral:rRNA from 1 species
GACGAACGCUGGCGGCGUGCUUAACACAUGCAAGUCGAGCGGAAAGGCCACUUCGGUGGUACUCGAGCGGCGAACGGGUGAGUAACACGUGAGUAAUCUGCCCUUGGCUUCGGGCUAGCCACCGGAAACGGUGAUUAAUACCGGAUAUGACCACUCCAGGCAUCUGGUGGUGGUGGAAAGUUUUUCGGCCAGGGAUGUGCUCGCGGCCUAUCAGCUUGAUGGUGAGGUAAUGGCUCACCAUGGCUUCGACGGGUAGCCGGCCUGAGAGGGUGACCGGUCACACUGGGACUGAGACACGGCCCAGACUCCUACGGGAGGCAGCAGUGGGGAAUAUUGGACAAUGGGCGGAAGCCUGAUCCAGCAACGCCGCGUGAGGGAUGACGGCCUUCGGGUUGUAAACCUCUUUCGCCUAUGACGAAGCGCAAGUGACGGUAAUAGGUAAAGAAGCACCGGCCAACUACGUGCCAGCAGCCGCAGUAAAAC